rnacentral:rRNA from 1 species
GACAGAGGGGGCAAGCGUUGCUCGGAAUUACUGGGCGUAAAGGGUGCGUAGGCGGUCGGGUAAGUCUGAUGUGAAAUCCCCAAGCUCAACUUGGAAAUGGCAUCGGAUACUAUUCGGCUGGAGGAAUGGAGGGGAGACUGGAAUACUUGGUGUAGCAGUGAAAUGCGUAGAUAUCAAGUGGAACACCAGUGGCGAAGGCGAGUCUCUGGACAUUUCCUGACGCUGAGGCACGAAAGCCAGGGGAGCAAACGGG